rnacentral:rRNA from 1 species
UACGAGGGGAGCAAGCGUUGUUCGGAUUUACUGGGCGUAAAGGGCGCGUAGGCGGCGUGACAAGUCACUUGUGAAAUCUCCGGGCUUAACUCGGAACGGUCAAGUGAUACUGUCGUGCUAGAGUACAGAAGGGGCAACUGGAAUUCUCGGUGUAGCGGUGAAAUGCGUAGAUAUCGAGAGGGAACACCUGCGGCGAAGGCGGGUUGCUGGGCUGAUACUGACGCUGAGGCGCGAAAGCUAGGGGAGCGAACGGG